rnacentral:rRNA from 1 species
AUUGAACGCUGGCGGCAGGCCUAACACAUGCAAGUCGAGCGGAGCGGCGGACGGGUGAGUAAUGCCUAGGAAUCUGCCUGGUCGUGGGGGAUAACGUCCGGAACCGGGCGCUAAUACCGCAUACUAUCAGAUGAGCCUAGGUCGGAUUAGCUAGUUGGUAGGGUAAAGGCCUACCAGGGCGACGAUCCGUAACUGGUCUUAGAGGAUGAUCAGUCAAACUGUAACUGGGACACGGUCCAGACUCCUACGGGGGGCAGCAGUGGGGAAUAUUGUACAAUGGGCGAAAGCCUGAUCCAGCCAUGCCGCGUGAGUGAAGAAGGUCUUCGGAUUUUAAAUCGCGUUAAGUUGGGAGGCGUUACCAACAGAAUAAGCACCGGCUAACUUCGUGCCAGCAGCCGCGGUAAUAC